GGAGGGGUGGCCGAGUGGUUUAAGGCGCACGCCUGGAAAGUGUGUAUACGGGAAACCGUAUCGCGGGUUCGAAUCCCGCCUCCUCCGCCA
rnacentral:tRNA from 1 species